AACGAACGCUGGCGGCAUGCCUAACACAUGCGAGUCGAACGAGACCUUCGGGUCUAGUGGCGCACGGGUGCGUAACGCGUGGGAACCUGCCCUUAGGUUCGGAAUAACUCCCCGAAAGGGGUGCUAAUACCGGAUAAUGUCUUCGGACCAAAGAUUUAUCGCCUUUGGAUGGGCCCGCGUUGGAUUAGCUAGUUGGUAGGGUAAAAGCCCACCAAGGCGACGAUCCAUAGCUGGUCUGAGAGGAUGAUCAGCCACACUGGGACUGAGACACGGCCCAGACUCCUACGGGAGGCAGCAGUGGGGAAUAUUGGACAAUGGGCGAAAGCCUGAUCCAGCAAUGCCGCGUGAGUGAUGAAGGCCUUAGGGUUGUAAAGCUCUUUUACCCGGGAUGAUAAUGACAGUACCGGGAGAAUAAGCUCCGGCUAACUCCGUG
rnacentral:rRNA from 1 species